GUACAGAGGUCCCAAGCGUUGUUCGGAUUCACUGGGCGUAAAGGGUGCGUAGGCGGUCGGGUAAGUCUGACGUGAAAUCUCCGGGCCUAACCCGGAAACUGCGUCGGAUACUAUCCGGCUAGAGGAUUGGAAGGGAGACUGGAAUACUUGGUGUAGCAGUGAAAUGCGUAGAUAUCAAGUGGAACACCAGUGGCGAAGGCGAGUCUCUGGACAAUUCCUGACGCUGAGGCACGAAAGCCAGGGGAGCAAACGGG
rnacentral:rRNA from 1 species